rnacentral:rRNA from 1 species
GGGUUAGUAACGCGUGGGAGUAUACCCUUUGGUACGGAAUAGCCUCUGGAAACGGAGAGUAAUACCGUAUGAGCCCUUCGGGGGAAAGAUUUAUCGCCAAAGGAUUAGCCCGCGUUAGAUUAGGUAGUUGGUGGGGUAAUGGCCUACCAAGCCUACGAUCUAUAGCUGGUUUUAGAGGAUGAUCAGCAACACUGGGACUGAGACACGGCCCAGACUCCUACGGGAGGCAGCAGUGGGGAAUCUUGGACAAUGGGGGCAACCCUGAUCCAGCCAUGCCGCGUGAGUGAUGAAGGCCUUAGGGUCGUAAAGCUCUUUCGCCUGUGAAGAUAAUGACGGUAGCAGGUAAAGAAACCCCGGCUAACUCCGUGCCAGCAGCCGCGGUAAUACGGAGGGGGUUAGCGUUGUUCGGAAUUACUGGGCGUAAAGCGCACGUAGGCGGAUCGGAAAGUUGGGGGUGAAAUCCCGGGGCUCAACCCCGGAACUGCCUCCAAAACUAUCGGUCUAGAGUUCGAGAGAGGUGAGUGGAAUUCCGAGUGUGGAGGUGAAAUUCGUAGAUAUUCGGAGGAACACCAGUGGCGAAGGCGGCUCACUGGCUCGAUACUGACGCUGAGGUGCGAAAGUGUGGGGAGCAAACAGGAUUAGAUACCCUGGUAGUCCACACCGUAAACGAUGAAUGCCAGUCGUCGGGUAGCAUGCUAUU